rnacentral:lncRNA from 1 species
CGGCGGUUUAAACCGCCUCUAACUUAAAUUUCUGUAAGGAAAAAUCUAAUUAUCUUAUUUGUACCGGCGGGUUAAACCGCCGGUACAUAUUUUGCUAAAUUGUAAUAAUCAUCCAAAUUAUAUAUAUUUUUACAAGUAAUUACUGUAUUUUUAAAAUCAAAGUUAUUGAUUCCAAAUCAACAAAUAAAUACCAAACUUGAAAACAAAUUAAGACAUAAACCAAUAAAAUAUAAUCUAUAAAGUGUACUAACCAAAUGAUCAUCAAGUAUCAAAUUUUAAUAUAAAGCAAUCCAUCACAUAGUAGCUAAUCAUUUUAUAACACAUCAAAACAAAACGACUAUCCCGAACAUACAUAUAUAGCAGCUAAUAACUUGUGAUGCACCAAAAUGCAUAAUGUCAGUCUAAACUUCAACAAAAAAUAAGAAAAAGAAAUUCACGAGUACUUUACUAAACAAAAUGUGACUCGUCUUUUAAUCCAUUGAGUUCUUAAGUAAACAAAAUAUGAUUGUUGUCUUUCACUGGUUGCAUUUAAACGGUUCGCCCAUGAAGAUUGGUUUGUGGUUCAUGACUUGAAUUUGAUGACCGAAUGUUAGGAGAAGAACAAUUUGCACUACCAUGAUCUACAACCUGAAAGUAAAACAUGCAAUAAAUUUAUAUUAGUUCAAACAAUAGUAAUUAGUUGAUAGAAAAUACGAAAUACAAGAAAAAAUAUUCUAAAAUUUCUUGCCUGUAGGUUAAUCGGUGGACUGGAUGUAGGUGAUGGGGAUCCUAGAUUCUCCUCAGGAAAUUUUUUAGAUAUUAAUGCUUGUAGACGUUCCACUUCUUUUUGUAAGCCUUUCAUCUCCCCUUUUAGUUUAUCCACCUCUCUUGACCGUUCGUCGCUUGCAGAAGGUUGAUUGUUUGAAGGCAAGCCCCAACAAUUUAGCCGAUAGUAGCUAGUUGGCGUAGGUCCCAAGCCUAAGCCCUUCACACGACCAUUN